CUAAGUUCUGCACAAAACCGUGCCCCCCACUGCAUUGUGCAAAGCCGCUCAGAGGCGUCCUUGAAAGAAUCUUGUGAAAAGAGAAUGGAGCUGAGGCUGUGAAACCAGACAGCACCCCCUCAAAACCAGAUUUUUGUGGCCCCAAACAAUUCUGUCUCUUUGUGUGGGAUAGCUAGUGGUUGGUGAGUCAUGUUACCAGGUGUAUUUAUAGACCAUGAAUUUGAAAUAAAUAAAUAAAAGCAGUUAUCGCCUCUUGAGAGUCUCAGAAUGAGCAAAAAGAAUAGCCAACGGAACAUCUGCAAGUCAGAACUCUUGCUAUUAUGAGAGAGCAGGCUGAACUCUACUGACCAGCCUAGGAUAAAAGAGUUCAUUCACAAGACAGGAGAUCGGCCUGAGUCCUCUGUGUAGCCCACAAGAUUAUUCACACAGCAGCUUGCGCCUGAGAAAUGAGGAACACAUGUAUUGUGGAAUCACUAGUGAUGGCUGCCAGGGAACAAGAUGCUCACAGAGUUUCAAAUUCUACGGAAUGGAUGAUAUAACUAUUACACAUGAAAAAAACUUGAAUCCAAGCAGAAGUUGAUUGAGACUCCAGUGACUUAAAAGAUCAUUCUUGGAAGUCUGACUGUAAUGUGGAUUGUCAUUCAUGACUCAACCUUCAAGGAUAUACUACAAUAAAAAGAAAAAUAUGAAGAAAGCUACUGGGAAAAUUUCAGCUGAAAAAACAUGAGCUGGACUUGAACUUAGGUUAACUUCACCUGCCCAGCAAACAAGGCCCAUCCUUUCUUAACUUCGACUUUCUAUGGACAAAUUUAUCUGCCUACUAGAUUACAGAGCACUGCAGGAACUUCUGAAACUACAAUUUGAAGUCUCAUCCAUGGAGUGGGCACACUGCCCAGGACCCUUUCUCAACUGGGACUCCAGACAGCGGUUAAUGAGGGACUUCCCAGCAUGCUGUUCAAGUCUAGAUGUUCGUCGGCCCAUUUGGUGAUACUGUGGCUCACCAGGCUCCACGGAAUUCUCCAGGCAAGAAUACUACAGUGAGUGGCCAUUCCUCUCUCCAAGGGAUCCUCCCAAACCAGGAUUGGACCUGGCAUAAUAUGAUAAGGGCAGGUACAGAACAGGGAUAUUGGUAAUGUGGAUGGAUGGCAGAAAGGUUGCUGAGGGGGAAAAGAGUGGAAAAUGAAGGAGAAGAAAAAGUUAGAGAUGACUUCUAGAACACUUACUCAAGAAAAUAAAUGAAAGAGACAGUCAUUUAGUUACCCAAACUGGAGAAAUGGUCCUCUAUGUCUUUUAAGCUCACAGAGUAAACAUUACCAUCUACUUGAUCUGGAUAUAGAGUUAGCCCAAGGUCCUAUAAAACCUAAAAUGUAAAAGGCCUGUUAUAAACAUGGGUAAUAACUCCCACAAGGAAGCAUGAAUAUGUGUUUUUUAUAAUAUAACAUAAUAGUUCUUAAAAUACCAUGGAAUAUAAAAAUUCCUUUAAAAUCCUUAGCAGUUUAUCUUUCCAUCUGCAAUAGUUGACUAUCAUCCCAUCUCUUUGAGAGUAUUACCUAUACAGUCAGUGACCUGGCUCCUCUACCCAACAGAACUCCCCCACAUACUAAGAAAUCUGAAACUGAUAGGCUGACAAUAUUCUGUCAAAUUUCAGGGCAUGUGAACAUAAAAACUCAUGUUCCUAUAAAAGAGCUGCAAUAAAGGCUUUACUGAAUCAUAUCAGGCUUUCGUUACUCACUGGAGUAACCUGUGAGUUGAAAACAAACAGCUUCUCAGCCCUACUUGCUCUGUUCUUGGCUCAUCAGAAGUGAAUGAGGAAAACCAGAGACUAUUUUUAAGAUGAUGGGAAGGUUACCAAGAACAUACAUUCUGAUGAAAUUCUCAAAGCAAGUUCACACUUUAGUUAGCAGUGUGUUUUGCCUUCAUCAAAGUUUUUGAUCACAAAUCAUAAAAAAUCUAUCCUAGAUACUGACACUAAAUAUGGGACAACCUUCUGUACUCCUUUUUCCAUGUCUUAAAGUCAUAUGGAUUAAAAGUGUUGAGAUAGACAUAUAUUUAAUGAAUUUGCCAGUUUCAUUCUGUGGAAGUAUCUUGAAAAGGGUCUUGAACUUCAUUGGAGAAGUUUGAAAAUAAUUAGCUUUUAAUUAUACUGCUCUUAAGAUAUAAGAAAUUUUGGACUUAAAUUCAAGCCUACUUAUAGGUUAAGUUAGAGUAAUAUACAGCAAUUUGGCAGGAGUCAAGAAAUCCUGAAUUACAAAUGGACAAGAAAGCAUGGGUAGGUCAUUGAUUACAAAAAUUCCUAAUUGGCAGAUAUGCAAAUCAAACAUUUCAUUUAUAGAAAUUAAUUUAUGCUUCACUACUUUUUAAAAAUUUUAGUUCCUCAGUAGUUCAGAGUAAUUUUUAUUUCUACAAGUCAAAUAAGUGUUGGUCACAGCAAACUUGAGGGUUUUUUUUUUUUUUAAUCAUCAUUGCACACUCAUCCCAAACUGGGAGUAUCUAGUGUGUCAGUAAUUCUGUAUGUGGACUCUUUCUAAUCAUAUCAUGAUUAUUCCUAU
ensembl:lincRNA